CAAACUGGUUAUUCGGUGGGCGGUGGACCACCGAACGCUCCGCGCUUAACGAGUCCGGAUGGGAAAACGGCGCCGAUAGCCGAGAGGAAAGAAAAGGCGGAAAGUUUCCUGCCGGAGGAUGGGAUUCCAUCCUACCACCCGUAUUGAUCUUCAGAUUUUUCGGACUAAUAAUCCGAUGGUUGGCUCUACCGGCCAUCCUACGGUUUACCGGCCGUUUUUUGUCUGUUCGGUUGGCGCCCAACGGGCAUUCCGGCGCUCGUUGGUGGAUGGGAUUCCUCCCGAAAAGACUUUAGUAGCCGCCAGGCCGGAAAUUGAAUCGGAACGUUUCCACCGCGCCCGACGGCCACUUAUAGUUUAUAGUUAGAAAGCAGAUCCCAGAAGAGAGGGAAUUAGUAGGUGGCCC
rnacentral:lncRNA from 1 species